GCUUUUGAAGUGUAAUAAUACGCUUCUUUAAGCCCACCGCCCCAUUGGUAAGGAUGAGGUCGGCGGUUCGAAUCCGCCCAGCAGCUCCA
rnacentral:tRNA from 1 species